rnacentral:rRNA from 1 species
UACAGAGGGUGCGAGCGUUAAUCGGAAUUACUGGGCGUAAAGCGCGCGUAGGCGGCUUUGCAAGUCGAUUGUGAAAUCCCCAGGCUUAACCUGGGAACUGCAUUCGAGACUGCAUAGCUAGAGUAUGGGAGAGGGAAGUGGGAUUUCAGGUGUAGCGGUGAAAUGCGUAGAUAUCUGAAGGAACAUCAGUGGCGAAAGCGACUUCCUGGACCAAUACUGACGCUCAUGUGCGAAAGCGUGGGGAGCAAACAGG